AGUAGCACGGCCCCUUCUUCUCCGUCUUGUACAUCUACGUCGCCCCGGCUAACCACCGGCGUCGUCAACGUCCUGGCUCGCCGUGCCAUGACCACACAGCAAAACCACCACCGAGCAGCAGCGGAAGAAUUCCCACUGCACUCGCCUGCCUCCUCCACCGGCUCCGCGGACUCCGCGCCAUGGCACCACCGCGCCCCAGCCACGCCGUCACCUGUGCUCCCGUUCCACACCAACGACGCCGACGAGAUGCUCCUGCUCCACAUGCUCUCCCAGCACCACGAGGUCCAGCACGACGCGGCCGCACCCACGAUUGCGCCGGUGAAGCGGGAGGCCAGCCAAGAGGAAGAGGAAGACAAGGCGGCCGUGGACGUCGGGCGUGCGUUCCACGGGGUGCGCAAGCGACCGUGGGGCAAGUACGCGGCGGAGAUCCGUGACUCGACGCGGAACGGCGUGCGGGUGUGGCUGGACACCUUCGACAGCCCGGAAGUUGCGGCGCUGGGGUACGACCAAGCUGCCUUCACCAUCCGUGGCGGCGCUGCUGUGCUCAACUUCCCCGCCGACCAUGUCCGGCGUUCGCUCGAGGGCGCAGCAGACGAUGUAUGCGGUCGUGCCCACGGCGUGUCGCCCGUGCUGGCGCUCAAGCGGCGGCACUCCAUGCGGAGCCGGAAGGCCACGACGGCGGGCAGGAAGGUGUAAAGGCCGCCACCCGGGGGGCGCAGCCAGAGGGCAUGGUGA
rnacentral:rRNA from 1 species